CGCAAACUGAAAGCAGUACCCCGGAACGUGUAUUCACUUCGUUCUGGGCUUUAUCCGGGUUUGGACCACAGUUUGGCAUGGCUACCUUUGACAGUCCAGUGCUGCCUAUACGCGUCAAGUGAAAUAACGAGACUUAACGGGAAUAUAGUUUUAUUAGAUCUACCUUCACAGCAAAUACUUUCCGUUCAACGUGAUUUAUUCAUCGAGAACAGUAUUCAUUGAGAGUGGAAAACGUGCAUCUAACCGGAAAAGUAAAGGCAAUAACUUUAGUCUAAACUUGGAAUAAACUAAAGAGUCAUUGGUUGACGGAGAUUUUGUGAUCAUUUCAACAAGGAAAGUAACACGUGCGUCGGGGCGACAAUGAACUGGAUCCACUUAGACCAAGUUGACAUUUUCACUGACUGAAAAAGAAUUAAGGAAGAGAUCUAAAGACGGAUGUAUCACAAUGCACCUCCAUUUACGCUUCACAGAAUAGUUGCUGGUGAUUUGUAUGACCGAGCUACUGGGUGUACACGACUGAUUUUAGAGCCUGGAAAAUGCGUCGUUUAUUUUUAUGCUGACUUCUUCUAUUUAAGGAAUUUAUGAGACGUCCAUAACGCAGGACGACGAAGUAAAACAGGAUAUUGUUAUUCAUCAUAUUGGAAUAGAAAAACAAAAAAGUAAUAACGUUAAACCACCAUGGGGACACAAGGACCAGGACGAAAAAGAAUUCCCAAUAAAGACCGAUUGACAGCAGAAGAUGAUGCUCUGAAUGUAAUUGCGAGAGAGGCGGAGGCCAGGUUGGCAGCCAAGAGAUCAGCGAGGGCAGAAGCCCGAGAGAUCCGCAUGAAAGAGCUGGAGAGGCAACAGAAAGAGAUCUAUCAGGUCCAGAAGAAGUACUCCGGAUUGGACAACAAAUGGGGUGACAUUGAGCAAUGGAUGGAGGAAAGCGAGAGGUACUCUCGCCACACGCGGAGACAUGCCUCGAUCUCAGAUGAUGAGGAGCGGAUGUCUGUUAGUAGCCGAGGGAGUAUACGGUCGGAUGUGGAUGCUGUUGGGGCAUAUGGAGGACUCGGCAGCGAACGGGUAAAAAGACUCACCGUAAUCGCAGUGUGGUGUGGUUUGUGUCUGUGGCGCAGACUUGGGAUAGCAGACCUACCAAUUAUGUUCACUUUCAGUGAUUUCCAGCAAGUCACUGUUUUUGAUGUACAAAUAAGGGUAGCAGUACGAUUAAAUUAAGUUCUGACGUCGCUGUUAGAGUCUUAGGUCCUUUUGGGUUGUGAAAACAAUGACCUGGCCAAUGAACUUUCUUAUUCUGAUCUCAGGAAAGAUAGCACAGUGUCAACAGAUGAAAACAUUAUGUACCCUGAAAAAAUAUUUGAUGGACAAGCUGAUACUAAGUAGAAGCUCCUAUCCCAUGGCCAUUUUAGGUUCUUUUGACUUUCUAAAUUGUGCAUUUAGUUAUUUUAUAUCAACAAAUAGAAUAGGAAUGCAAGAUUACUUUUUAGAUGUGCAUGUCAUAAAUCAGAUUGAUUCAGCAGUUAGAAAAGAGGGUUUAGGGCCUGCCUUGUGGUGCUAGUAAUUAAUCAGACUUCAGACUGUAGUAUCGUAGCAUAUCAGUGUCCAUCCACCCAUCUCCUUUUGGGCCCAUUUAACAUGCUCUGCCUUUAUAAACGGUUGAAACGGUAAACUCCGUGGUUUUCUUGUACCAUUGUGAACUUAUUUUUCCCCAUUGGUCUUCCGAAAUCUCAGGGUUCUACGUCACACUCACACAAGAAAUCCAAGAAAAAGAAGAAGAAACAUUCUAAAGACAGCAAUGGUUAUGAUGACGAUGAUCGCAGUACAAUAUCCGGCUGGAGCUCCAAACUCAGUGAUGAGAGCAGAACCUCCCGCUCCUCCAGAGUAGACCUGCAGCCGUCGGGUUCUACUCGAUCCUCCAGAGUAGACCUGCAGCCGUCGGGUUCUACUCGAUCCUCCAGAGUAGACCUGCAGCCGGUGGGUUCCUCUCGCUCAGCGUGUGCCUCCUUCCCGUAGUCUAACCCACUUAUGCUCCUUCCUCUUGGGUUCGGACAUUUUUUGCUGUGAUUCUUGACUAACCGAUGUUGAUGAAACAAGUUUGAGUGCAGUGAUGUUAGUGGCAGACUGUCAUUAAAAUGUUCAUAAUUUCAAUAAAGUCCUCGCCAAAAAAAGCUUUAGUGUGUGUCUGUCAAAGUAAUAUUAAGUAACAUUUGCGUGUUUUGCUUGUUUGCUAACAGAGGGACACAAUGCUCACAGAGUGCUGUGUGUUUUGCUAGUUUGCUAACAGAGGGACACAAUGCUAACAGAGUGCAGUGUGUUUUGCUAGUUUGCUAACAGAGGGACACAAUGCUAACAGAGUGCCGUGUGUUUUGCUAGUUUGCUAACAGAGGGACACAAUGCUAACAGAGUGCCGUGUGUUUUGCUAGUUUGCUAACAGAGGGACACAAUGCUAACAGAGUGCCGUGUGUUUUGCUAGUUUGCUAACAGAGGGACACAAUGCUAACAGAGUGCCGUGUGUUUUGCUAGUUUGCUAACAGAGGGACACAAUGCUCACAGAGUGCUGUGUGUUUUUGAGCUGUGUUGCUUAGGUUUGCCCCGUCUCUCAGCUGUACAACACUAUAAGGGGUGACAGACCUUCAAAUUAACACAGACUAUUAACUGACUACAUUCACACAGACUUAAAACAGACCACCAUUAUUUCUUUAUGUAUCUAUACUAUCUUUCUGUUAAAAAAAUAAAUAAAUCUAUCACUCUAAAUCUUUUCACUUGCUUU